rnacentral:sRNA from 1 species
GUCACCUUUGCCAAUUUUGUAUUCCCAAUUCCCUAAUUCGAAAUUCGAAAUCUGUAGAUUUCUCUUUGGGGCUCCACUGUCUGCCCCGAUCCAUUGAUCCAUCUAAAUAUAUCAGCCUUUUGGGAAAUGCAUCUAUUUUUGUACAUGGUUCAAGCACUUACUUCUGAUUAAUACCGUCAGGAGCCCGAAAAAAGAACCAAAUCAUUUUGCCCCUGAUUUAUUGGCCGUUUGCUUUGAUGACCGACCCUCACGACCGACCCUCACCCCCCACCGCCAUCCCAAGGACCAUUUGUCCACCCCUUCGAAGUAUUCGUGUGUCUGUCAUUAGCAUUACGAUUGCCGGCGAGUCGUAAAGUACUUGACGAAAAUGGAAAGCUGCUGACUGCUGCCUGAGACGAACUUAAAGAGUGAAGGACGCCUGACGAAAGUGAGAGGCAGUGCGGAGAGUCCUUUACAAGGUUGUGAAUAGGAGGGGGCGCUGGGCGCUUGAAGAGGGGACGGCUUAAGAGGGGCUGUCUGAAGCCGAAGCUCAGUCGCAAAGAUAAACAAGCAACAAAUUAAAAUGAAUUAAAAUUGUGUAAAGUUACGAAAGUCUCAAGUGAUGAUGAAGUGGCGAAGGGGUUAAGGCGCUAUUGAGAGGGAGGGUGUGCUGUGGCUUAGCCAGCCAAUGGCUAACUAAGAUUAAUGGGCUGGACAGGAGCAGGAAGAGCUCCAAGACCAGGAGCAGGAAGGGCUUCAAGACCGGGAGUACGCAGGGCUCAAGACCAGCAGCAGAAAGGGCUCCAAGACUAACAGCAGAAAGCGCUCCUAAGCCUGAAGAUGGACAAUAUCCAGGGGCAGUGCCGCUAGAUGCAGCAGCAGGUUCACAAGUAGACGAUCCAGGAGAGGUCCCGAGCCGAAAGUAGGACAGGGUCGAGAGCCAAGAAGGGUUAACUAUUCGCACUCCCCCAUACCUAGGCCCAUUCCCAGCUCCUCUGCUCUGAACACUCAAUUCGCAUAGUGAAGAUUACGGACUUGUAAGGAAUGCUCUCCGCCUUAACCGCUGUCGUUGUCGCUGUCGCUGUCAGCGGCAGCUAUACAGUUUUAGCCAUAUUUGGGGAACAUUUUGACUAAUGUUCCAAGCAAAAAAAACAUAAAAUUUCAUCCACCGAGUGGACUGGAGGGGAAAGGCCAGACAGUCUGACUGGCUGAUGGACCGAUUGGGCCCUUGAUCGAUGGGCCCCGACGAAGCGGGCCAAAACGAUUAUUAUAACAAGUCGUUGAAAAAACACACAGUUUCUGCAAAAUGUAAUUAACUCGAAAGCCAUAUUUAAGAUGAACGAAAAGAGUUUGUAUUUGUGGAAUGGGAACAAGAUACGCCAAGAGCUUGCAGGAUGGCAGGUUUAGUAUAACCCU